rnacentral:rRNA from 1 species
AUUGAACGCUGGCGGCAGGCUUAACACAUGCAAGUCGAGCGAGCGGCGGACGGGUGAGUAAUGUCUGGGAAACUGCCUGCUGGAGGGGGAUAACUACUGGAAACGGUAGCUAAUACCGCAUACCAUCAGAUGUGCCCAGAUGGGAUUAUCUAGUAGGUGGGGUAAAGGCUCACCUAGGCGACGAUCCCUAGCUGGUCUGAGAGGAUGACCAGCCAAACUGGAACUGAGACACGGUCCAGACUCCUACGGGAGGCAGCAGUGGGGAAUAUUGCACAAUGGGCGCAAGCCUGAUGCAGCCAUGCCGCGUGUAUGAAGAAGGCCUUCGGGUUGUAAAGUACUUUCAGCGAGGAGGCGUUACCCGCAGAAGAAGCACCGGCUAACUCCGUGCCAGCAGCCGCGGUAAUAC